CACGUAGGGGGCAAGCGUUGUCCGGAAUCAUUGGGCGUAAAGCGCGCGUAGGCGGCCCGGUAAGUCCGCUGUAAAAGUCCAGGGCUCAACCCUGGAAAGCCGGUGGAUACUGUCGGGCUAGAGUCCGGAAGAGGCGAGUGGAAUUCCUGGUGUAGCGGUGGAAUGCGCAGAUAUCAGGAGGAACACCGAUAGCGAAGGCAGCUCGCUGGGACGGUACUGACGCUGAGGCGCGAAGGCGUGGGGAGCGAACAGG
rnacentral:rRNA from 1 species